rnacentral:rRNA from 1 species
UACGGAGGAUCCAAGCGUUAUCCGGAUUUAUUGGGUUUAAAGGGUGCGUAGGCGGCUUAUUAAGUCAGGGGUGAAAGACGGUGGCUCAACCAUCGCAGUGCCUUUGAUACUGAUGAGCUUGAAUACACUUGAGGUAGGCGGAAUGUGACAAGUAGCGGUGAAAUGCAUAGAUAUGUCACAGAACACCAAUUGCGAAGGCAGCUUACUAAGGUGUUAUUGACGCUGCGGCACGAAAGCGUGGGGAUCAAACAGG